GACGAACGUUGGCGGCGUGCUUAAUACAUGCAAGUCAACUGAAGCAGUGGUAGCAAUAUCGCUGUGGAGGUGGCGCACGGGUGAGUAACACGUAGGUAAUCUGCCUUCAGGUCUGGCAUAACUCCGUGAAACCGGGGCUAAUAGCAGAUGAUGCAGCGGCUCGACAUCGAGACAGUUGUUAAAGCUAUGGCGCCUGAAGAUGAGCCUGCGUCUGAUUAGCUAGUUGGCGGGGUAACGGCCCACCAAGGCAACGAUCAGUAGCUGGUCUGAGAGGAUGAUCAGCCACACUGGAACUGAGACACGGUCCAGACUCCUACGGGAGGCAGCAGUAAGGAAUAUUGCUCAAUGGGAGAAAUCCUGAAGCAGCAACGCCGCGGGAGGGACGAAGGGCUUUUGCUUGUAAACCUCUGUAGUGAGAGAAAAAAAUCCCAAUCUUUGGGACAUGAUGGUAUCUCAAAAGUAAGCCCCGGCUAACUACGUG
rnacentral:rRNA from 1 species